AACGAACGCUGGCGGCGUGCCUAAUACAUGCAAGUAGAACGCUGAAGAGAGGAGCUUGCUCUUCUUGGAUGAGUUGCGAACGGGUGAGUAACGCGUAGGUAACCUGCCUGGUAGCGGGGGAUAACUAUUGGAAACGAUAGCUAAUACCGCAUAAAAUUGAUUAUUGCAUGAUAAUUAAUUGAAAGAUGCAAUUGCAUCACUACCAGAUGGACCUGCGUUGUAUUAGCUAGUUGGUGAGGUAACGGCUCACCAAGGCGACGAUACAUAGCCGACCUGAGAGGGUGAUCGGCCACACUGGGACUGAGACACGGCCCAGACUCCUACGGGAGGCAGCAGUAGGGAAUCUUCGGCAAUGGGGGGAACCCUGACCGAGCAACGCCGCGUGAGUGAAGAAGGUUUUCGGAUCGUAAAGCUCUGUUGUAAGAGAAGAACGGGUGUGAGAGUGGAAAGUUCACACUGUGACGGUAUCUUACCAGAAAGGGACGGCUAACUACGUGCCAGCAGCCGCGGUAAUACGUAGGUCCCGAGCGUUGUCCGGAUUUAUUGGGCGUAAAGCGAGCGCAGGCGGUUAGAUAAGUCUGAAGUUAAAGGCUGUGGCUUAACCAUAGUAUGCUUUGGAAACUGUUUAACUUGAGUGCAGAAGGGGAGGGUGGAAUUCCAUGUGUGGCGGUGAAAUGCGUAGAUAUAUGGAGGAACACCGGUGGCGAAAGCGGCUCUCUGGUCUGUAACUGACGCUGAGGCUCGAAAGCGUGGGGAGCAAACAGGAUUAGAUACCCUGGUAGUCCACGCCGUAAACGAUGAGUGCUAGGUGUUAGGCCCUUUCCGGGGCUUAGUGCCGCAGCUAACGCAUUAAGCACUCCGCCUGGGGAGUACGACCGCAAGGUUGAAACUCAAAGGAAUUGACGGGGGCCCGCACAAGCGGUGGAGCAUGUGGUUUAAUUCGAAGCAACGCGAAGAACCUUACCAGGUCUUGACAUCCCUCUGACCGCUCUAGAGAUAGAGUUUUCCUUCGGGACAGAGGUGACAGGUGGUGCAUGGUUGUCGUCAGCUCGUGUCGUGAGAUGUUGGGUUAAGUCCCGCAACGAGCGCAACCCCCAUUGUUAGUUGCCAUCAUUCAGUUGGGCACUCUAGCGAGACUGCCGGUAAUAAACCGGAGGAAGGUGGGGAUGACGUCAAAUCAUCAUGCCCCUUAUGACCUGGGCUACACACGUGCUACAAUGGCUGGUACAACGAGUCGCAAGCCGGUGACGGCAAGCUAAUCUCUGAAAGCCAGUCUCAGUUCGGAUUGUAGGCUGCAACUCGCCUACAUGAAGUCGGAAUCGCUAGUAAUCGCGGAUCAGCACGCCGCGGUGAAUACGUUCCCGGGCCU
rnacentral:rRNA from 1 species